rnacentral:rRNA from 1 species
UACGAACCGUGCAAACGUUAUUCGGAAUUACUGGGCGUAAAGCGUGCGCAGGCGGUUCGCCAAGUCAGGUGUGAAAUCCCCGGGCUUAACCUGGGAAUUGCGCUUGAAACUAGCGGGCUUGAGUGUGGCAGAGGGGGGUGGAAUUCCACGUGUAGCAGUGAAAUGCGUAGAGAUGUGGAGGAACACCGAUGGCGAAGGCAGCCCCCUGGGUCAAGAUUGACGCUCAUGCACGAAAGCGUGGGGAGCAAACAGG